AAACACCAAAAGGAUACACAAAACACCAGAAAGAUACACUGAAACUCAAACACAUGCACAUGCAUAAUACAUUCCCAUGAAAUAGACUAGUUUUGAGAUAUCAGGGUAGAGCACAUGCAUAAUACAUUCCCAUGAAAUAGACUAGUUUUGAGAUAUCAGGGUAGAGCACAGAAAGGAGCAAAAAGGAGCUAACAUUCUUAUUGAAAUACUAACUGCAGUUCAUUUAUCAUAUCCUCAGACAUUGUACACAGCGGUGCGCUGGUGAUCCAUCACCACAUCAGCCAAACUAGACACGGAAUCACAGUUUAUACACACAAAUUCAUUUUGUCUUCUUAUCUUCUUUGUUAUCCUUCUCCACCACUACUGGCGUUGCAGGUAUGCUGAACUACCACUCUCUCAACCUUCUGGUGCAUCUCUCUGUGCUUGCUCUCCUUAGUGGAGAGUGGUUCGUGAACACCUCCAGAAACAUCGCCAGGAUAAGCAAUCUUGUAGGCAGCAAGGCAAGGACAAUAGCCAUCAAUAACAGCGCAAGGAUAGCUUUGUCUGUGGCCUGCAAAUUACAAGAGUAAGUGAAAUAUCCGAUCAAACUCUGGUAUCGAAUACGUUUAAGGUUAAAAUUGUGGCACUGCCCAUAAAAUUCAAUUUGUUUAGGAUCAAACUGAUGAAUAGAAAUUUGUAUAGGAGCAAAAUGUACUUUUGGAAGCUGGAUAGAUUGUAUAAGUUCAACAUUGAGCACAGCAACCAAAAGUCAUGCCCGUCCCAGUUUGAGGGGCUUGAGGGGAACAUGUUUACCUAUGGCUUUUAGGCUAGGUAGCACAAAUAGAUGCAUAGUGUUAAACAUUGUAAUGCGUCAUGUUAUGUCCGUCUCUUUCUCUCUCUCUUGUACGGCAAGUUAUUCUCAUAGAGUUGGAAAUAGAUUGGGUUAUAGAUAGAUAGAGUUGGUCUCCUUUUAAGUUUUUCUAUAUAGUCUUCUGUAACCCAAACUCCGUAAUCCUCAAGAGAGGCUCUCCUCUCGUUCGAUCAAUAUAAUUGCGGGCGCUCUCCUCUGGAGGGUACGAAGCUUCAUCAAAUCUUACAUGGUACGAGAGCCCCUCUCUUCCAACACAUCUAGCUACCUUCCUCAACCUCCUGUCAUGGUGCCCUCCUCUAGAUCCACCACAAACUUUUCCCUCAACUCCCAAGUUUCAGAAAAACUCACUAGAACCAACUUCAUCCUAUGGCAUGCUCAAGUGCUAUCGCAGAUUCGAGCUGCGAGCAUGUAUGGCUACCUAGACAAAACCUAUCCCGAACCACCCAAAACAAUCACCACCAAAGACAGCGCCGGCAAGGAUCAAGUCAUCAUCAACCCUGAGUACACCGUCUGGGCAAGGGAGUACCAGCAGGUGCCCUCCUACUUGCUCAAUAAUCUCUUCAAGGAGGUCCUGAUUCAAGUCGCCUCUCAUGAGAAGGCUCAUGUGAUCUGGGAUGCCCUGAUAAGCAUGUUCGCCUCCACAUCAAGGUCCCGCAUCAACAAUAUCCGCAUCAACCUGAUGAAUGCGCAGAAGUGGAGCCAAUCUGCGGCUGCCUACUUCGGCCACAUGAGAUCCCUCGCGGACGAGCUGGCCAUGGCCGGCGAUCCCAUCACUCCCAAUCAGCUCAUCUCCUUCAUCAUCGCUGGUUGGGACAUGGACUACCAGCCCAUCGUCUCUGCACUUGAUGUCCGCACCAACGACGUCUCUGUUGACGAGCUUUUUUCCAUGGUGAGCAACUUUGAUCAACCAGUAUAACUCUUCCAUGGUACGGGCGCCGGUGGAUUCAAGCCCUCUGCAAACUUGGUUGGGCGCGGCUGUGGCUUCUCGAAGGGGGCGUCAAUGAAAAGGAGAUGGUGGCGGGGGCUUACCUCAAGGACAAAACAGCGGCGGCAGAUCCAUCCUAGGCAGCUACCCUGGCCAGGGCGGCGGCGGCGGCUACCGCAGCAACAACAACGGUCAGGGCGGCCGAUCUGGCGGCUAUGGUAGCUAUGGUGGUGGCUUCUACCGUGGCCAACCUGGAGGCUAUGUCCAUGGUAAAGGUGGUGGCUAUGGUGGCUACGGUGGAGGCUCCAACAACAACCAGCAGCACCCCUACUACAACAACCAGAGUCGUGGUGGCGCCUCCUCCUUUCCCCAAGGGUUUGAUGGAAUUUCUCAAAUUUGCAAGAAAGAUAAUCAUAUUGCAAAAGAUUGCAAGUGGCGCUAUGCCGAAGAUAACUGCAGGAAGAAGAAAGUUGCUGCUAUGGUGGACACUUCCUAUGGAGUAGAUACCAACUGGUAUAUGCCGACACGCUACGGAUCACAUAACCGGUGAAUUGGAGAAGAUCACCAUGCAUGAGAGGUACCAUGGCCAUGAUCAAGUUCACAACGCCGACCGCGCAGGUAUGGAGAUUAGUCAUAUUGGUCAUUCAAUUAUUAAAACCCCACUUCGAGAUAUUCAUCUAAACAAUGUUCUGCAUGUUCCUAGUACCUCUAAGAAUCUUCUAUCUAUCCAUCGCAUUGCACUUGACAAUCAUGUUUUUCUAUAGUUUCACCCAUACUUCUUUUUGAUUAAGGACCAGGCCAUGAAGAAAAUCAUUUACCGAGGUAGAUGCAUGGACGGACUCUACCCGUUGAUCCCUAAGUUUAAGAGACUCAAUAAACAAGUGCUCGGUGUCAUCAAACUUUCAUUGGAUAGAUGGCAUCACCGUUUUGGCCACCCUGCUUUUUCUAUCCUUCAUCAAGUACUUAGCAGAAAUAAGCUCCUAUCUGUCGGUGAGCAUCGUUCUGAAACUAUUUGUGAUUCAUGUCAGAAAGCAAAAAGUCAUCAAUUGCCAUAUCCUAUCUCUAAUAUGUUUCUGUUAAACCAUUGCAACUUUUUUUUCUUGAUGUUUGGGGUCUAGCUCCUUCCUCUGUUGGAAGACACCUAUUAUGUUAGUUUUAUUGAUGACUUUAGCAAAUAUACUUGGAUCUAUCUUCUUAAGAAACGGUCUGAUGUGUGUCAAGUCUUUCACAAUUUUCAAGCUCUUGUUGAACGACAAUUUAAUAGCAAAAUCAUUGCAGUGCAAUCUGAUUGGGGUGGCGAAUAUGAAAAAUUAGAUUCCUUUUUCCAGCAAAUAGGAAUCUCUCAUCAUGUUUCCUAUCCUCAUGCUCAUCAACAGAAUGGUUCUACAGAACGAAAACAUAGGCACAUUGUUGAAGUUGGCCUCGCUUUGCUUGCUGCUGCUUCUAUGCACUCAAGUUUUGGGAUGAAGCUUUUCUUACAGCCGUUCAUCUCAUCAACAUCUUGCCUAGUCGUGUUAUUAAUAAUGACACUCCUGCUUCGUGCUUGUUGGCCAAAUUUUCAUCCUUACAACCAACGCAAGCUUAUGUCUCGUUCAAUCCAAUGCGUUUUUCUUGGCUAUAGUGCGAAACACAAAGGGGUCAAGAGUCUUGAUGUGUCAAGUGGACGAGUUUACAUCUCUCGUGAUGUUAUCUUUAAUGAAAUCAGUUUCCCUUCGAAAAACUUCAUCCUAAUGUUGGUGCACUCCUUUGCAAAGAAAUUAUUUUACUUCUCAACUUUCAGCGUCGAUUCUGAGGGUGAUAAUAAUUGCAAUGAACCAAUUUUGACUAAUCCCUCUAAUCCUAUGGCUGAGUGUGAUGAUGCAGGUCUGAACACAGAAGAAAAUCCAGCUCAAAACAGUGCCAAUUCGGUGCCAAACAGUGUCUUUGGGCGUCAUUUUAUGUGUUCUACUGCUGCCACAGAAAAUAGCACCGAACCUGCCUUGGGGACCUUGCUGCAGCAGACUGCAUCAAGAUCUGCCGCGGGAUCCGUGAAAGUUGUUGCGGCAGCCACACCAGGGCGAUCCUCUCUGGACUCCGCGCCACCAGAUGCCACCCGCAUCGCGUCCAACACCGCCUCCCCAUGCCAGCCAGCUGGGCCCACAGAUCGCGUGGAGGCCGCCUUCCCGCCCGCCUUGUGUGCGGCUCGUGCCUGGGUAGCCGACCACCCAAUUAGGAGUGGGCUGGAUGUCGGUCGCUCGGCCCUCUCACCUGGCCCAUCUGGGCGUGUGUCUCCUGGCACACAAGAUGUGACCAGCGAAUCGGCCUCCGGAUCGCCAGCCGCCUCACCAGCAGCACUUGCUGGAUCUUCUGUGGCUCCAUCAGCACCUGACUACCCUGUUGUUCCGCCUGGAUUUGAUCAUCCCUCUGCUCCUACUGCCAUCGUCACACCACCACGCACAUGGCUUCAGAGGGGAGUAAUCAAUCAUAUUAAUUACAAGAAUAUUUCCAAGUUUGGUCCUGCCUGUUUAUCUGGUGAACCUACUAACUUCCGUGAAGCCCUUGGUGAUGCUCGCUGGAAACAAGCAAUGGAGGAGGAAUAUUCUGCCCUGCAGAAAAAUAAGACCUGGCAUUUGGUUCUUCGUCAGGGAGGUAAAAACUUGAUCGAUUGCAAAUGGGUCUAUAGGACUAAGAGAAAAUCAGAUGACACGGUUGAUCGUUAUAAAGCAAGGCUCGUCACAAAGGGAUUUAAGCAAAGAUACGGGAUUGGUUAUGAGGACACUUUUAGUCCGGUUGUCAAAGCAGCAUCCAUUCGUCUUAUGUUAUCCAUUGUUGUUUCCAGGGGAUGGAGUCUCAGACAGCUAGAUGUGCAGAACGCGUUUCUUCAUGGUGUUCUGGAAGAGGAGGUGUAUAUGAAACAACCUACUGGGUUUGAGGAUAAAAAUGCACCAUUUCAUGUCUGUAAGCUUGACAAGGCCUUAUAUGGAUUAAAGCAAGCCCCCAGAGCAUGGUAUUCUCGGUUGAGUACAAAGAUGCAAACAUUAGGGUUUGUUCCAUCCAAGUCUGAUACAUCAUUGUUCAUUUACAACAAGUUCAAAACCUCCAUUUUUGUCCUUAUAUAUGUUGAUGAUAUCAUUGUCACUAGUUCAUCCAAUGAAGCAAUAACAAGGUUGUUAAAGGAUCUGAGUUCAGAGUUUGCUCUAAAGAAUCUAGGAGACUUGCAUUUCUUUUUAGGCAUUGAAGUUAAGAAAAUCAGAGAUGGCAUUUAGGGAAGUAUGCAAAUGAUUUGUUGAACAGAGUUGGUAUGAAGGAUUGCAAGCCUUCACAAACACCGUUAUCUAGCUCAGAAUCAUUGACCUUAACUUAGGGAGAACCCUGAAUCAGGAGGACAGCACCAGUUACAGGAGUAUAGUUGGUGCAUUGCAGUACUUAACUCUCACUCGGUCUGAUAUCUCCUUUGCAGUAAAUAAAGUUUGUCAGUUUUUGCAUGCACCCACCAUUGCUCAUUGGACUGCAACAAAGCGUAUUCUAAGGUAUAUAAAGCACAUAGUUGAUCUUGGUUUAACUUUCAGCAAAUCCUCUUCUACUCGUGUGAGUGCAUUCUCUGAUGCUGAUUGGGCUGGUUGCCUUGAUGAUAGAAGAUCAACUGGUGGGUUUGCUAUUUUCUAUGGACCUAAUUUAAUCUCAUGGUGUGCAAAGAAACAAGCUAUUGUUUCCAGGUCAAAUACUGAGGCAGAACAUAAAGCAUUGGCAAAUGCUACAGCUGAAAUUAAUUAGUUACAAUGUGUGUUGAAGGAGCUUGGAGUUCCGCAAACUCUGCAUCCCUGUCUUUGGUGUGAUAACCUUGGUGCUACAUACUUAUCUGCUAAUCCAGUGUUUCAUGCCAGGACUAGACACAUUGAGAUAGAUUUUCAUUUUGUCAGAGAAAGGGUUGCAAAUAAACAACUAGAGAUCAGAUUCAUUCCCUCCAAGGACCAGCUUGCAGAUGGGUUCACAAAAGCAUUACGAGUCAAAGGCUUGGAGGAGUUUAAGCAUAAUCUCAACUUGCGUAGUUGUGAUUAAGGGAGAGUGUUAAACGUUGUAAUGCGUCCUGUAUGUCCGUCUCUUUCUCUCUCUCUCUCUCUCUUGUACUACAAGUUAUUCUCAUAGAGUUGGAAAUAAAUUGGGAUAGAGAUACAUAGAGUUGGUCUCCUUUUAAGUUUUUCUAUCUAGUCUUCUAUAACCCAAACACUGUAAUCCUCACGAGAGGCUCUCCUCUUGUUCGAUCAAUAUAAUUGUGGGCGCUCUCCUCUGGAGGGUACGACGCUUCAUCAAGUCUUACACAUGGACCAGCACACCAGUAAUGGUAGAGGUGGAGCUAGACUGAGAAUGACCGGGGCUGUUUUCAUGAGAAUAGCAGUUCAGAGGGGACGGGCAUGAUUAUAAGGAAUGACCAUGGUCUCUUUUUGGCAACGGGAAACUGUGACGCUCCAAUUUGUUGAUUAUGCCACAACUGCCGAGGCACAGGCUCUCCUAAAUAGACUUUCCUGCCCUUUUCUUCCCUCCCAGAUCUCUGUUUCCCGCCUGAACCUUCCAGCCUGUCUAAGGCGUCCUCAUUUGCCUAAGGCAGGCAGAGUGGCGCCUAGGCGGAUGCCUUGGACGCCUUAUGGACUAAGGCGGACACCUUAGACACACAGGUAAGGCAAGGCCGGCGCCUUGGCUCCUGGGGGCGCCCUGACGCCUAGGCGUCGCCUAAGCGACACCGUAGGGACACCUUAAAAACAAUGAUGGCAUCUAUCCGAGAUGGUCCACAUUUGUGGAGACUAUCUCAAACCCUGUGCCAGGAGGCAAGAACUCCUACUUUGCCAAGUGUCAGGAGGCUUGCAGGAAGGAUGUCUGAGCAGGCAUUUGGUGUGCUCCAAUCUCGAUUUGCUAUUGUUCGGUACCCCGCUCUGACCUGGUCGAAAUCUCAAAUGUGGGAGCAAAUGAAUUGAUGUGUCAUCUUGCACAAAAUGAUCAUUGAGAGCGAGCAGGAAGAGCCGGUGUUUGACAUUAUACCAUAUUUCAGGUAGGGUCCUAUUGCAACUGUUGAUCGCCAAGUCCCGGCAGCAUGGGCUGCCUUCCUCAAUAUGCAUCAGGAGAUCCGAGACCUACAGGUGCAUCAAGAACUGCAGCAUGAUCUGGUGGAGCACCUAUGGAGGCUCAAGGGCACAGCCUAGUUCGAUGUGUUUAAAUUUGUGUUUGAAUUAUGAGUUUGCUUCUUUGAACUAUUUGAUUUGUAUUGAUUUAUGUGAUGAACUAUGUGAUAAAAAAUAGUUUUGUUGAAUUUGUGCCGAAGUGUGCCGAAUUUGGGCCUAAUUUGCGCCGAAUUUGGGACGAACUCUGUGACUUGGGGAGGGGGCGAACUUGAGGGGUCGGCUGGGAACCAGAGCCCCCCCCCCCCCCACCGAAUAUAUCGCCGGUUAGCCCCCAAGCGGCGCUAUUUCAAGCCCUUGGGGGAGAUGCUCUAAGGUGGUGACUGCUCAGAACAUUGUUUGUCAUAGUGGAUGAUGUAUCUCUAUUUUUAAACAUAAUAUAAUCUGCCAUGUAGGAUUUCCGUUAACAACAAGAAAAGAACACAGGCAUGGACCAGCACAUCCGUAGCUGUAGAGGUGGAGCUAGAGUGAGAUUGAAUGGGGCUCAUUAGGGUCAAUACGGGGUCUCUUUAUGGCUGUUUUUUUUAUCAUCACCGUUCACUAUACGUGGGCUAAUGUGGUGCAGAAACUUGCGUUCGAGCUGAUUGCAAUAGAAAAUAAUUUGGUUGUGAGAUCUUAUGCAUUUUAGCUCUAGCCUACCCCCAACUUGUUUGGGACUAAAGGCUUUGUUGUUGUUGUUGUUGCAUGUGACCCCGUAGCUCUACCUAGCUACAGACGGAUACAUGCCUAACAUAUAUCAGUGAAUCCCUUCUUGACUGGUGGCACGCUGCAAAGCAAAGGAUGCCGAAGGAACAGCGGAAAGGCAUUGCAAGCAUUGUGCUCCUCACGUGUUGGAUGCUAUGGAAGCACAGGAAUGCCUGCACCUUUGACAUCAUCACCGGGGUCGCGCUUGGAUCUGGGCAGGUGUUGUUGAGCCGCCUGAAGGAUGGGACAUCUACCGACUCCCUCUCUAUGAGGCACCAAGGAAGGAUUCUCACAGAAAUUGGAGGGAGACCGGAAGAAUUGGGGUGAGUACGUAGUCAGGAUGGGAAUUGGCCAGCCUGCUCCAGCCCAGACCUGGUUCCUGAUGGCACCUCUGUUCUGUUCAGGGACAUGGAGCCAGCCCAAUGGUACAAUACUAAGUGACCUCAUGUCUCACUAGGCAACAUGGUCCAUCCCACUUUAAUACUAGAUUGCACAAAAAAGAGCAUUUACACAUGUUCUCAAAAAAAUUAACACAACAGCAUUAUUUGAACUAGCAUGAUUUAGAUGUAAGGAAUUUUACUAAGUUAAGAUAUUUAGAAUUUAGGAAAAGGCUGCGUACAAUAGACCCAAAGUGGUCGGACCCUUCCCCAGACCCUGCGCAAGCGGGAGCUGCAUGCACUGGGGCUGCCCUUUUAAGAUAUUUAGAAUUUAAUUGCUCAAAAAAAAAGGAGAUAGGCAGCUUUGUUUCUGUUUAUACCAUGAAUCGUUUGCACCAUAAGGUAGCAUAUUUGUCACUCUGAAAUAGAAGCAGUCAUGGGUGGGGCUGCAAAUGAAUAGAGCUCGAGCGAGCUGGACUAGGCUCAGCUCAACUUGUACCAAAAUUUGAGCGAAGCUCAAGGUCAAGCUGUAGAGAGUGGCUCAUGCUCAGCUUGUAACAAUUUCGAGCCGAUCUCAAGCUAGUUUCAAGCUAAAUAACAUGAUCUUGUUUUAAUAAUCUAAGGCAAGUUUUUGAACAAGAUAGGCCACAACACAACAUAAGAAACCACUAUCACAUAUUAUUCCAAUCAAAACAAUGGUAAUAUAUAAAAAAUCAAGGUAGCUGGACUAGAACUUAAUAGCAAGAGAUUGUGUAUGAAUUAGCAAGAGAAGAAACAAAGGUGCGUCACCUCUCAAACCUUGGCAAAAAAUAAUAGGAUAUUUAACACACGGCUGACCAUGUACCAUAUUGAGGCCUAAAUUUUCUCCACGCUUAAUUAAGCUUCCAUGUUUGCUAGUAGAUAAAAUGGAGAGAAAACAUACACAACAUAUAUGGUAAUAAAUUGUCCUAUUCCUUUUAUAUAAGCACCAGGGUAACAACCUUGCAAAGGUAUGUGCAUUGCAACGGUAGACUACAACCUUGGGUAACUAAAUUUGGGUCGACCAGCUUGCUCCGGUGGGCCGAUGGUGUCCGGCUCCCCUGGCCCAAUUUUCUUAUGAAGCCAACCAGAUGGGUGGCUCCCCUGGCCCAAUUUUCUUAUGAAGCCAACCCCAGAAGACCCAUCGGCCUUGAAAUUAUGGGCCAGACCAAUAUCCCAAUGGGUAACGUCAGCCCAUUCCCAUCGUGAGUAGGUAGCGAGAGAGGGGAUGUGUUCAGAGGAGAGAUGCAGACGUUUUCUCUUCACUGCACAAUGGCGUCCAUCUUACAGUUGAAUCCUUUACAUAACUCGCGACGCACACAAAGCACACCCAAGCCCACAGGCAGUCACACAGAAGCUUCCUUUUCCUGAAGAGCGAGCCUCUUCCCAGAGAGAGCUUACCAGAAAUCGAGAGCAAGCGUCUACUUAUAGCUUCAGGUGCUUCUUCAACAGGUUCUGCCCAUCCUGCUGCUAACUCUUCUAGAUCAGAGAGACCACCCUUUUCACAGUCAGGUGCACAACACCAGAGCUCUGCUUGAUUUUGGCUCUUGCCGCCAUUAUUUUCUUCCGCUACCAUCGCAGCUGAUCUAGUAUGUGCUUUAUAGUUUUCUAUACUUUCCGCUUCAUCCACCAAGUCCAUUGCCCUUUUUCGUGUCAUGUAAUGCGAGUCCACCAUACCUUUAUCCGUCAGCCUAUUUUGGUCCUUGUCCUUUCUAUAGAUUUUCGUGGCCUCUUUCUGCAUUGCCGAUCUACGCCUGUUCUCUUGCCGCCAAGCUUCUUCCAGCGUUGGUUUUCUUGGGCUAUGACACAUUCUGUUGAUGUGUCAUCGUCUUUUGACAAUCCAUCUUCUCUUCAAACUUAUCUUGUGUCUUCUACUGAUGUGUUGUCUUUGAUGCAUCAUCUUCUUGUUAUCCCUUCUUUGGCUAGACACAACAGGUUUUUGAAGACUCUUGAUGCUACAACGACACUCUGAAGACAAGGAUUUUGGAUUAUCACUAUUUUGUUUUGGUAAAACAUGAGGGGAUUGUUAAGGAGUAUUAUAUUAGAGAGUGGACGGCGUCGAGACUGGCCCGCCGUGGCCUGCAGCACCACCCUAGGUGCCUCCUUUGCGAACCAAGACCCGGAGACCAUCCAACACCUGCUCCUGGCGUGUCCAUUUGCUAAGCAGACUUGGCACAUCAUCCUGGACUGAGCGCAUAUACCUGCCCAACCGCCAGCCAACAAAAUUACCAUGAUGGAAUGGUGGCUGCAUGCAAAGGCACAGACCCCUCCUACACUACGAAAGCUCUGCAAUCGAUCACACUGCUCGUCCCCUGGAUGAUCUGGAAACAGAGGAAUGAAUGUGUCUUCGACAAUGCAAGACCCUCGAUAGAUGCGCUAGUUGAUAGGAUUAAAGACGAGGCCAAAUGUUGGGCAAAAGCUGGGGCACAGGGGUUGCGGGUUGUCUCUGCGGGUUGUCUUGCUCGCCUCCUGGGAUGUCCACUGAUCAUGCGCUAGGACUCUGUAAAUAUAACCUCCUAGGAGGCAUGUACUCUCUCUUAUCUUUUCAAUGCAGUGAAAUGCAAAAAUCAUUUUGCAUUUUCUCAAAAAAAGAAAUAGAGAGUGGAUUUUUGCUCUCGGACACCAUGGAGCCCUCUAUUUUCAAACAUUCAAAAUUCAACUUUUUUAGUUUCGAAAAGAUCUGAAAAAAAUACACAAGUACUUAUAGAUGUAUAUUAGAUGCGUGUGAAAUUUCAUCACAAAAUAUGUUUUUAUGCAGCCAAUACGAAAAAACAAAAUCAUGUGAUUUUAUAAUGAAUAGUACAUAUGCUAGAAAUACGUGGUUUUGUUAUUUUUGUGUAGCUCGCAUGAAAAAUUAUUCCGUCAUGGAACUUCACAGACAAGUACUAUACAUCCAUAUGUAUAUGCGUAUAUUUUUCAGAAUUUUUUGAAACUUAAAAUUUGAAUUCUAAAGUUCCCAAAUAAAGGUCUACAUGGAGCUCGAGCUCCAUUAGGCAUUUCCGUAUUAUAUUGGUCCAAUCUACUUUUCAUAGUCGUACUAGUCCAGAUUUCCUUCCUUAUACCCCAAGUAUAUUGUACUAUAUAUUUGCCCUAUGGGCUAUGCAAUACAAUAAGGUUGCUCCUCUAACAACACACCAUAAAUUCUGUUGUAGUUCACGAACUAACUUUUAUUUAGCAACCGGCAGGAGCGCUGCCUUUUCAUCUACAAGACGGAAAUAUAUACAUGUUGGCAUGUUUUAAAACGGGUACAUGCCGGAAACCCACCAAAACAUUCCCUAACACGGCAUGCGAACUACUCAUUGUUCUGAUAUACUCUUGGCCAGAAGGCCACGUCCCUCUGCCUGAUGUCCCCAAAAAGUGAGAUGAGAAGGUUAUUAGAAGCAUCCGGGUCGAAAUGUAGCUUUCAAAUUAAGUUCUUAAUUUGUAGAUGUUGCCAAAGGAAGUUGGUGUGCCAUACACAAAAAAGAAGCGACUCAUACAAUGACAGAGGUACAUAGAGCUCUUACGCCAUGGUUCACGAACUACUUCUCCAAUAUAAUGAUAUUUUUCAGGAACUAGCUGCAUUGCCUCCUCAUAGGAGUUUUGAUCAUGCCAUCCCAAAAGCAGAAAAAUGCCUUCUGGAGUCAAAAGCCAACUUGAUUUCAGCCUCGAUAUCCGAUACGGUAUUCUGAUGUGCCGAAAAUGUGAGGAAUUUAUCCCGUAAGUGAAAGGGUUUCUCUAGUAUCAAACCUUGCCUCUGCCCAUUCACAUAUGUUGCUUGGCCAAAAACAAGACAUGCAAACUGCUGGAAUUUAGUCUAGUUUUAGGCCAGACCAAUAGCUUUUUCAGAAAUUCAUAAUAAAUCCUAGAGGCUCACUUAGCCCAUUAGUGCAAGGCAAGAGGUGGGACUAAAGUUUAGUCCCACAUUGCUAGUUUGGUAGGAGUUGGACCUCCUUAUAAGAGAGGAUGUUUUCCCACAUGUAUGAGCAUGAGAACAAGAGACAUUCACGCGCGCUCCUCCUCUGCUGCCCGCCUCGCCACGCCUCGUCACGACACGCCGCGGGUUGCGGGAAUGAGCCGAUGUCUAAAUUUUUGCCACGCACGACUGGUAUACGAAAGGUCACACGGGAGCUAAAAAGUUUUGCUGUAGUGGAGAUUGAAAACGCUGCACCCUGUGGCUGUUGGUUGUUUGUUUCGUGUCCCUCUUUUCCUUCGCCUCACGUCGCUGUCUAUUCGCUACCUCCUCCUAUGCCUAUAAAAGAGAGGUCGAUCCUCUCCAGAGAGACACACCAGAACAUCGUCUACCUCUCGCCACCGAGUUCCAAGCUCUGAGCUACUAUAAGGUCUCGUGCACCGCAGGCCGGGACAGUAGGCCUCCGAAACACCGCCACUCCGAGUCCUGUACGGGAGAAAGGUGAUAAGGUUUUUGGGGAGCCUCUGCGCGACUACUGACUUCUUCAUCGCGGAAGCCACGGAUGCCGACGAGCGCUUCCCAAACGACGACUUCUUCCCCGACGUCGACAACCUCUUCGAUGACAUGGCCGGCGAGGAAGUCCACCCCAAGUCCAAUACUUCUGUCGCUGCUUCGUACGUCCUUGUGUUCUUUCUGUUUAAGAUCCUGCCAUAGUUUCUUGUUCUAGCUUCUGUUCUACAUAUGUUCUGUUCAUAUUCAGUACCUCAGAUGCCAUUUGCAUACUCCCUGUUAGAUUGCAUGACUUGUCUCAUAUCUGCUAUGAUAGUCAUGUUUGAUCUAUUGUUUUUGUUAAUAAAAUCAUAUGGUCAAUCGCUCAUAUUUCCAACAAUCCAAAAACCUUAUUAUAGGCAAUUUACCCCGAGUGGUUUUGUUGCUUCCAUGAGGCCUCCUAUGUUUAAGGGUGUGCACUAUAAGAGGUGGCGUCUGAUAGCCGUUCUAUGGUUUCAAACCAUGAGCUAUUGUUGGCGGUGAAUGGCUUCAGUUGCGACAUGUGGAACCCUGGAUGUAUGAGACUUGAGGGCGGAAGAUCCAAACGAUAAGCUGCAGCUCCAAUUCGUUCCAGGACUUUGAAUGGGCUGUAGAAUUUGUGAGCAAGCUUCGAGCACGGUCGACUGACGAGCGACGAGUGCGCGUAUGGUGAUGCUUGUCGUCCUGAGCCUUGACGCGCUUGUGUGCGCGGCGGAGGUGUUCCCGCAGUAAAGCAAAAAAAUCAACACGAUCAGUUGCAAGCUCUGCCAGCGAAGAGUGUAGUUCAUCCUCCAAUGUAGGCAUUGUACAAAAAUUUUGGUCUAUUCCAUAUAGAGCUUUGAAUGGGGUGCAGCCCAGUGAUAUGUUGUAGUAAGAGUUAUACCAAAAUUCCGGCAAUGGAAGCCAUUUUUUGAUAUUUUUUUCCACUUCACCAGUUGUCAUGCACUAAGCACUGCAUGUAUUCUCCAAGCAUUGAUUAACUCAGAUUGGUGCCCGACCGUCCCUCUCGUGAUCUUAGUUUAACCUACAAGCUUAUGUCUAGCCUAUUUGGCUACCCCACGGUGCCCUUAUAUAAUAGGCUUAGGCUAAACAUGUUCGCCUCAAACACCUAACCUUCCACUAAUUACAAAUCUAGCUGCAGCACAACACGUACACAUAUUCGGCACAUAUUUUAAUAGCAACCAAAGGUGAGAAAGAGAGGACUCCACCUGAAUGCCGGCGCGCGUGCACACCCCACCACACUGUAGUCUGCCACCCACUGCACCACCGUCAACCAGUGAUGUCCACGCCGUCGGACAGUUGCUGCAGUCCACACCUCCAGCGUGAGCAGCUCGCAGCCUGCCAGCGUGCGGUGUGGCAGUGCGGGCAUGAGGACCCGAUUGCACUUUAAGAAUAUAGUCUAGGGGUGUUUUUGCAAAUGUUCAGGGACAACUUUGUAAAAAAUUAUUGAAAAAAAAACAGAUUCAGUUCAGUCCUAGCUGAGUUGGCAUGACUGCUGACAUGGCGCUGCCCAGUCAGCAGUCAACGCGGUCAAAACCACUUGACCGAGGCAAAACCGAGAGGAGGUUGAGUUUUGCACCACGUGGUUAGUUUGGGGUAUUGUGCAACCGGUAUCGAAGUUCAACGUUGCAAAUUAAACCAAGUUGUUAGUUCGAGGUUGUAGUGUGGACUUCUCUCUUUCUUCUCUGACUGAUCUUACUUCUAAAGAUGCGGAAUCCUUGCUCUAGGGCGAGUUGGUGCAAUGAUUUUCUCCAGCGGCAACAUCACAAGGCUCGGUAGGAACACUAUGAAACACUAUAUGCUGAUGAAAACACACUGAUAGGAACUUCCAAAAGGGGGGCAAGUCUAUGACAAGCUGCAUCCCCAUGCUCAACAGUUUGUGCCUGCCAGACCCUAUCCGAAGAUCUCUGUCCAGUGUUUUGGGCCCUACAAAAUACUUCACAAAAUUGGUCUAGUGGCUUAUGAAGUAGAACUGCCUUCUACAUCCUGUGUCCCAUGUGUCGCAGUUGAAGCAGCAUGUGCCUGAUCAUUCGACCGUUUUCUCCAAAUUUCCUUUAGCUGCGGAGCUUGAUAUCUCUGAAGUUUCUCCGGCAGCAAUCCUGGAUCGUCGCCUCUUGAAGAAAGGCAACACUGCUCUGCUUCAGGUGCUCUCAAGCGGUCUUUCGCUGCCAGAGAAGACGACUUGGGAAGACUAUGCCAAUGUUCAAGCGUGGUUUCCAACUGCUGCAGAGGGGAUGUCAACCAGGCCCAGCUACAGGUGUGUUAGCUCAUCAGACGUGUUCCUUAAGGGGUGGUGUUUAGUGGUGGCCUAGUAGUUGUGUGUGGGCCAGGGUGUCACUUGGGUGCGUUAUUUAUAUGCCAUGAGCUGUAACAGGAGAAUUAUCGAAUGAAUAGUGAAAUUUGAUCCUCCCCCAACUACUCGCUCUACUUCUUCCCCAAGUCCUUAUCCCCUCUGAUACCCAAAUUCACUUGUAUCCUGUUACAUGUCUUUAGGGAAAGUUCAUUGGUACAAAUUAAAGGGGUAGCAAGCUCAGUGGCAGGAGAACAGUGGUGUACCUCCCCUUGGUUGCAAAGAUAAAUGUGUAGUUACGUAUACGAGGAGUGAAUCAAUGGGGUUCCACGGCUCAGUAUGCUAAUUGAUCAGUUACUAGCAAUUACAGAUUCAAUCAUUUGAAUAAUUGGAAACAACAAAAGGGCAUAUCUGCCUGGUGUAUUUCAUCUGCUAAUUCCAUAGGAAAGAAAAAUUUUGAGGGGAUUUUCAAAAUUGGGGAAGAACACAACAAAACUAGGCUAGAAAACAAGGGUAGGGACUCCGAAUUCGUGAUCAACGUGGCUCAUGAUACCAAUAUCAUGAGCAAGCUGGCUCUGAUCCAAGAUGAUGUAGGGUAGAACCCUAGAUGCCCGAUCUUUCACGAUUGGAGGGGAUCCAACGAAGAACACGGAGAACACGAGAGAAAACACGAGGAGAGAAAUCACUCAAACCAACAAGAUUUGAUUACACAUAUGCUAGAUCCUUGAAACACAAAGAGAUACAUGAUCCAAAUCCAACAAGGGCCGAUACAAGUGGCGGUAGUUCGUCUCCUGAGGAGGUCUUGAGGGGUCUUGAUGCGGAGCAUCCCUCGACUACUCACAACGACACUCCAUCACCACCGCAAGCUCCAAGUGGACCAAUGACACGAGCACAUGCACGCGCCAUCGAGAACGAGGUUGACUCUAUCCUCUUCGAGUUUCGCUCGGUUUCACAUGAGAGUUGGAUUCUACCAUCAUCGGAAAUAUUGUGCAUGCUUAGGUACCAAGAGGACGAUGGUGAGAAGGAGAGGACGGAGACUCAAGUGACCUCGAAGCAACGAAAUGAAGAGAAGGAAGGAGAGAACGAGAAGGAUGAAGAAGGAGGAGAAGGGGCAAACCCCCUGGACGCCCCGAGUGCCCGGCACCUCCAGCCCCUGGGUGCCCGGGCCCCUGGCCACCUACAGCCGCGCCCCGGGGUGCCCGGGCCUUGGCUGGCCGGGUGCCCGGCCCCCCUCUGCCAAGCCGCUGGGCUCAGCACCGGGUGCUUGGGCUUGAGGCCCCGGGUGCCCAGCCGCUCCACCCGGCCAUCUCCAGCGCCACCCCCGGGUGCCCGGGACUUGGGCCCCCGGGUGCCCGGGACUUGGGCCCCCGGGUGCCCGGGACUUGGGCCCCCGGGUGCCCGACCGCCCCGCCCGGCCAUCUCCAGCGCCACCCCCGGGUGCCCUGGGCUUGGGCCCCCGGGUGCCCGGCCACAUGCCAGCCGGCCCCUGAGCAGUUCGGGUGCCCGGCCCCCUCCGUCCAGCCGCACGUUUAUGGCAUUUUUGGCCUUGUACCCCUCUCUUCUUGACUUGUUUCGCCCCUAAACUAUAUAAGGACACCUCCUAGGUCAUUUGUAGGGUUAGCAAAGAUUAGACUAAACAUUGUGAGCCUUUGCUCCUUGUAUCCCCUCCUCUUAGGAGAUCAAGCCCCCGCCUAGGGAAGAAUCCAUUGGAUUGUCAAGGCCUCCUCUUGGAGAAGAUCAUCAAGACCUCACCUAGUGGGAAGAAUUUACCUAGUGCUACCCUCCUUGUAUUGAUCUUGUAAUCUUGUGGAUCUCAUGUAUGCUACUCUAGUGGAUGUGAUAUUUGGGUUUGUUUGAGAGUUUUGUUCUUGGUGUUCUUGAGUGUUUUCCUCCUUUUCCCCCUCCAAGUGUGAAAAGAUCCUUCCUAGGGUUUGACCCUACAACAUCUUGCUAUCAUGAGCAAGGUUUAUUCACAUCUUGGAGUCCCAUCCCCCCAUUUGCUAGCUUGAUUUUGUUGUUUUUCGUCCAAAUCCGAAAAUCCCCACAAAAAUAGCCCCAAAACUUUUUCUUGCAAUUUGUUGGAUCUUGUGAGAUUUGGUUGUUUUGGUCCAUGGAUUUGAUGUUUGGCAAGUGGAUCUAGCCCCUCCCCAACAAUCCUCACCCUUCCCACCACGAAAUUCAUGGAAUUUUCCGUUUUCCCCAGUUUUUCCGCCCAUCCCGAAGAACACCGGGUGCCCGCACCUCGAACCCCCGGGCACCCGCACCUCACACCCCCGGGUGCCCGUACCCCCCCCCCCAAAUCAGCCCACUACAAACACCAUUUUGGCCAUAACUUCCACCUCCCAAGUCCGUUUUUCGUGUUCUUUAGCUCGUUUAGAAGCUCUUGACAUCCCCCAUCCACUCAUCCCGCUACCACCACCAUUAGCCCCCAUCCAAAAAAAUCAUCACAAAAACACCCACCUUCUGCAUUUGACCGAUUUUGUGUUGCCAUUUGCGUUUCCUAAGGUGUUUCGGCUACUUAGGAGCGUGUGACAUCUUCAUCACCAUCAUCGACUCGGAGUCAUAUUCAUCGCUAACCAUAAGAAAGGACGGUAACCUCAACGACACUUACUCCUUACCUUGCUUUUGCAUUGAUAGCCCGGGCCACUUUGCGUCGCUUACCCAUUGAGACUAGCAAGUUGAGAAUUGCCGGGCCACGCUAUUGUGCACCGUAGUGAUCGUGUUAUCAUCUUAAUGCCAUAAGUCUCUCCCGUGCAUAUCAUACAUACUUGUCUCAAAUCAUACUCGGCUCGAGCAUCAAGCAUAGAAAAAAAAAGAAGAAGAAAAGCUUUUAAGCAAAAGAGGAGAAACAAAGAGCUUGUAAGCAAUAGAGUUGAGCCAUUUACAUACCUAUAUCAUCUUGGUCAUCGCAUAUAUAUCAUAGUUGGGAUUGAAGAUGGCACGGUUCUCUCAUAGGUAGGUGCACAAGUGUAUCUUGCACAUUUGAGCAAUCGAGCUAGUGUCUCUCGCGCAUUCGCACAACAAGAGCAUUUUCCGUGGUUGCACUUUUCGAGCUCACUCCUUGGUUGUGCGGAUCCCAUCUAUCUUCCGUGCGUGCGUGCCUAGUGAUACCUUUGGGUUUGAUCUAUUUGCUUUACUUGCAUUUUUGUGAGCCUUCUCAACCUUAUCGAUAUCUUGACUAACAUUUGCUUGAAAUUUUUGCCACCAUCCUAACCGAGCUACUCCAUGAGCCUCUUACUUGUAGGUGUGAGAAACAAACCCGGUUCCAAUUCUCCUAUUGUGGCAUUACAUUGAGUGACACUUGUUACAUCUUCAAUCCUCGGAGAAGGUAACUUUGGUAUUGUUCUCUCACUUUCCUACUCACCCUACUUGGUUAUGAUGGAUAGGCCAAUCUCGUCGUCGAACCCACUUUUCGAGGAGCAAGGUGAUGAUUCCGGCUUUGUCUCCAAGAACCACUUCUUCAUCAAGCAACGAGCGCUUCAUCAAGAAAACGUCGCAUUGGGUGAACGCUUGGAACAACUCGCCUCCGACCUUCGUCAAAACAUCGACGACAAAUGCAACACACAAAUGGAAGAGCUCCGCAACAUGAUCGUUCGACGCCCGUCUUCCUCAUCGGCUUCUUCAAGACGGCGCCACUCAAGUCACCGUACAAGUCGGCAAUCUUCGGACUACUACUCUUAUGAUGCAAGUCCACCAUGAGCUCGCCUUCCUCGACGUGAUCAUCAUCAAGCUCACCGAGCUCAAGAAAAUCCAUUCCAUGGCAAUGGAUUACAAGACCGAGUUCGAGCACGUGAACGGAUGUGACACCAAGUCCCUCAUGGAGCAAUGGAGCAAGAGCAAAUACCUCCACAAGUACCACCUCAAGCCCCUCAAGACGGUGAUGCACUUCGACAAGCACAAGAGCAACGUGAAGCACAAGCCCUCGUCCGUGAAGCUCAAGCACUUGAAGCACAACAAGCUCUACAAGAGGCCACUAGAGCCAUUGAAGUCCGCAACCGCCAAGUGCGAGAACAAGAGGAAGCUCUUCGACGCGAGAUACAAGAAGAAGCCGCCCUACGCGAAGAACAACAAGAAAGGCGCAACCAAGCGCACAUUCCUCGCCCUCCUCCAAGACAAGAGCGACACAAAGUGGAACAAGUUCUUCAAAACCCUCCUCCAUGCCAAGAGCGACAUCAUGAGGAACGAGCAUUUGAGGACUUUCCAAGGCAAGAGCAAUAUCACAACCGCUAUCAAGAUGAAGAACUCCACUACGGCAAGCUCAAGUUCACCAUGCCAAAGUUCUCCGAAAGCAAUAAUCCCGAAGAAUAUCUCUCUUGGGCAUUGAAGGUGGACAAGAUUUUUCGCCUCCACAACUACGAUGAAGAAAAUAAGAUAGCCAUGGCCUCCCUCGAGUUCCAAGACUACGUCCUCAUUUGGUGGGAACAAGUGAUCGAGCGACGACAUACAAGAGGCGAACCUCCAAUCACCACUUGGGAAGCCAUGAAGGAAGUCAUGAGAGCCCGCUUUGUGCCUACUCACUACACUCGAGAUCUUUUCAAGAAGUUGCAACUCCUCAAGCAAGGCACCAAGACGGUGGAAGAAUACUACCAAGAAAUGGAGAUUGCCAUGAUACGAGCCAAAUGUCAAAGAAGAUGACGAGCAAACAAUGGCACGCUUCUUGAACGGCCUCAACCACCCAAUCAAGCGGAUCGCCGACUUCCAACCAUACUCCAACCUUCUUGAGCUAGUUCAUCAAGCGACCAAGGCUGAGCGACAAGUGCAAGAUGACUUCAAAUACGCCAAGUACUCGUCCAAGACCUAUGGCUCCUACUCUCAAGCUCCCGCGACUUCGGCACCUCCUACAUCAACUCGAGCAUCACCAAGUACCGGCGACAAGUCAAGUUCCAAGCAAGUGGCACCUUCCUCGACUCGUCCUCCGGCAAGCACCUACAAAUCCAAGACUCCUUCAUCUUCGGCGCCUCCCAAUGAUCCCGUCAGGACAAGUUCAAUCAAGUGCUUCACAUGUGGCGGCCGAGGCCACAAGUCCUUCCAAUGCACCAACAAGCGAACAAUGAUCUUCAACGAUGACGGCAUAUAUGACUCAAUGAGUGAAGAAGAAAUGGAAGCCAUUAAGCACGUGGCCAUGCAUCGGCGCGUGAACGAAGAUGAAGAUGACCAAGUCUUUUGUGACAAUGAUUCAAGUCCCUCUCUCGUGGUCUCCAAGGUCUUGACGCUUCAACACCACCAAGAAGAAGACCAACGGUGCCACAUCUUCCACACCAAGGCCGGCAUCAACAGAAGGUCCGUCAAGGUCAUCAUCGAUGGAGGUAGUUGCCACAAUUUGGCAAGUGAAGAACUAUGCUCCAAGCUUCAAUUGGUCAAGAGGAAGCAUCCGCACCCUUAUAAGGUUCAAUGGUUAAGUGACUCCGGCACUAUCCGAGUUGAGCAUACGGUCCAAGUCUCCUUCAAAAUUGGUGCAUAUGAGGACACUUUGGAGUGUGAUGUGGUCCCAAUGACCGUUUGCCACCUCCUUCUUGGUCGACCAUGGCAAUUCGACCGUGGUGUUAUCCACAAUGGGUGUACCAAUCACUAUAGCUUCAAGAUGAAAGGGAAGAAAUAUGUGCUACGACCUAUGUCUCCUAGUCAAGUGAUAGCCGACAAGCAAGCCACCCAUCAUGGAGAGAAGAGUGAGAAAGUGAGCCACCCAAACGUGAGUGAGAGCCACAAGCCAAACUUGAGCGCCUUUUCGCCUAGAGAGAAAAACCUCAUACUAUUUGCCACAAAAAGUGAGAUGAGAGAAGUGUGUGAGAACCCAUUGAGUGUGAUGCACUUUGUCCUUGUGUGCAAGGAUGGAGAACCAAAAACUAACACCGCUCACGAGCUACCUUUGGUGUUUCAAUCUCUUUUGCAGGAAUUUCAAGAUGUUUUCCCCGAUGAGCUACCUCCGGGUCUCCCUCUUCGAGGCAUUGAGCAUCGAAUCGACCUCAUCCCCGGCGCUCCUCUUCCAAACAAGGCUCCCUACCGCGUCAACCCCGAAGAGACAAAGGACAUUCAACGGCAAGUACAACAACUCAUCGACAACGGUCAUGUACGUGAAAGCUUAAGCCCUUCUGCCGUUCCCGUUAUACUUGUGCCCAAGCAAGACGGUAGUUUUCGCUUGUGUUCCGAUUGUAGACCCAUAAAUGCUAUUACCGUUUGCUAUAGGCAUCCCAUUCCUCGCUUAGAUGAUAUGCUUAAUGAACUUAGUGGAGCCAACUUUUUCUCAAAAAUUGAUCUUAAAAGUGGCUAUUAUCAAAUCCGCAUACAAGAGGGUGAUGAAUGGAAAACCGCUUUCAAAACCAAAUUUGGCUUAUAUGAAUGGUUAGUCAUGCCUAUGGGUUUAUCGGAGGCUCCCGGUACUUUCGUGCGUCUCAUGCAUCAUGUACUUCGCCCUUAUAUUGGAGUCUUUGUUGUGGUUUACUUCGAUGAUAUUCUUGUGUUUAGCAAAACCAUGAAAGAGCAUCUUAAUCAUGUUAGGGCUGUUUUGCAAACACUUCGCAAGGAAAGUCUUUAUGCCAACAUGAAAAAGUGCACAUUUGGUGUUGACAAAGUGGUUUGGGUUUUGUUGUAUCUUCCAAGGGUGUCCAUGUUGAUGAAUCUAAAAUUGAAGCAAUUAAAAAUUGGCCCCAACCCACCAAUUUGCAACAAGUGCGAAGUUUUCUUGGCCUUGCGGGUUUUUAUCGUCACUUUGUGAAAGAUUUUAGCACUAUUGCCGCUCCUUUGCACGCUUUGAGCAAGAAGAAUGCUCCUUUUGUUUGGGGACCUUUGCAAUCAACCGCUUUUGAUGAGCUCAAAUCUUUGCUUAAACAUGCUCUGAUUCUUGCUUUACCCAACUUUGACAAAACUUUUGAGGUUCAUUGCGAUGCAAGUGGUACCGGAAUUGGUGGCGUUUUGAUGCAAGAAAAACGAGCUAUUGCUUAUUUUAGUGAAAAACUUUCCGGUGCUCAACUUAAUUAUCCCAUCUAUGACAAAGAAUUGUUUGCUUUAGUGCGUGUGUUACAUGUGUGGGAGCAUUACCUUAGACCGCAUGAGUUUGUCAUACAUACCGAUCAUGAAACACUUAAAUACCUCAAAGGUCAAACCAAGUUGAAUAAACGGCAUGCUAAAUGGAGUGAAUUCAUUGAAUCUUUUCCCUAUGUGAUAAAGUACAUUAAGGGCAAAGAAAACAUGGUGGUGGAUGCCCUUUCCCGCAAAUGCAUGUUACUUACUCAACUUGAAUUGAAUGGCAUAGGAUUUGAUCAUAUCAAAGAUUUGUAUGAGGGUGAUGUGACUUUUGCUACUCCUUAUGCUAAGUGUGUGACGCAUACUUCUUGGGAAAGAUAUUAUAUCAAAGAUGGUUAUCUUAUGAGAGCUAACAAACUUUGCAUUCCCAAGUGUUCUCUUCGUUUGCUCCUUUUGCAAGAGGCUCAUGGAGGUGGACUCAUGGGACACUUCGGACGCGACAAGACUUUCGCCACGCUCUCCAACAACUAUUAUUGGCCCAAGAUGUUUCGAGAUGUUGCCCGCUUCACCAACCAGUGCUCUACAUGUUGCAAAGCUAAGUCACACUCUCAAUCCCAUGGUUUACAUAUGCCUUUACGUAUUCCACAUCAACCUUGGGAAGACAUUAGCAUGGAUUUUGUGCUUGGAUUACCUAGAACUCAAAAUGGCAAGGAUUCCGUUUUUGUUGUUGUGGACCGUUUCUCUAAAAUGGCUCAUUUUAUCCCAUGCAAUAAGAUAGACGACGCUUCACAUGUUUCCAAUCUCUUUUGUUGGGAAAUCUUGAGGUUGCACGGUGUGCCAAAGACAAUUGUGUCGGAUCGAGACAUCAAGUUCUUAAGCUACUUUUGGAAGACUCUAUGCGCCAAGCUCGGGAUCAAGCUACUAUUCUCCACGGCAUACCAUCCUCAAACCGAUGGCCAAACGGAAGUCACCAACCGGACGCUUGCGACUCUCCUACGUGUGUUGAUAAAGAAGAACAUCAAGGAGUGGGAGGAGUGCCUACCCAUCGCCGAGUACGCCUACAAUCGUGCAAGACACUCUACAACCGGCAAGUCCUCCUUCGAGGUCGUCUACGGUUUCAACCCUUUAUCGCCAUUGGACAUCCUUCCUCUACCGCUUCAAGAACGAGCAAACAUGGACGCAAGUGAAAGAGCCGCCUACCUCAAGAAGAUGCAUGAAGAAACACGUUCCAUGAUCGAGUGCCAAGUGCAACGCCUCUCCGCCAAGCUCAACAUCAACAAGUCUCCGAUGGUGUUCCAACCGGGUGAUCAAGUAUGGAUACAUCUCCGCAAAGACCGCUUCCCCAAGGAACGCAAGUCCAAGCUACUACCACGAGCCGACGGACCAUUCAAGGUGAUCGCACGCUGCAACGACAACGCCUACAAGGUCGACAUCCCACGCGACAAGUACAACGUUAGUGACAUCUUCAACGUCAAAGACUUGGCCAAGUACCAUGGUGAUGAAGAGCACGAUUCGUGGACGGAUCUUUCCCAGGGGGGGAAGAUGAUGCGGAGCAUCCCUCGACUACUCGCAACGACACUCCAUCACCACCGCAAGCUCCAAGUGGACCAAUGACACGAGCACGUGCACGCGCCAUCGAGAACGAGGUUGACUCUCUCCUCUUCGAGUUUCGCUCGAUUUCACAUGAGAAUUGGAUUCUACCAUCAUUGGAAACAUUGUGUGUGCUUAGGUACCAAGAAGACGAUGGUGAGAAGGAGAGGACGGAGACUCAAGUGACCUCGAAGCAAGGAAAGGAAGAGAAGGAAGGAGAGAACGAGAAGGAUGAAGAAGGAGGAGAAGGGGCAAACCCCCUGGACGCCCUGGGUGCCCGGCACCUGCAGCCCCCGGGUGCCCGGGCCCCUGGCCACAUACAGCCGCGCCCCCGGGUGCCCGGGCCUUGGCUGGCCGGGUGCCCGGCCCCCCUCUGCCCAGCCGCUGGGCUCUGCCCCGGGUGCCCGGCCGCUCCACCCGGCCAUCUCCAGCGCCACCCCCGGGUGCCCAGGACUUGGGCACCCAGGUGCCCGGCUGCCCCGCCCGGCCAUCUCCAGCGCCACCCACGGGUGCCCGGGACUUGGGCCCCCGGGUGCCCGGUGUCAGGACCCCGACUCAAUGCCACAUUGAUCUAGCAUGUAACACCUCAUAUCACUUUGCGGCCUCACGCACGGUAUUCCCACGGGUGUCGCCUUAUCUUUGCCCGGGACCGUUUGCGCCUUUUGGCACACGUAUAUGAUAGUGUCGCUAGCAUCCAUAUGAUAAGGAGCCCGGGCUGACAUGACUAGUCGUAAACCCAAAGUGGCACAGACUUACAGGGACAUGCACCCAUGACCCAGCAUCGAACGUGUCGGUCAUCAGCAAGUGGGUCCGGGCUGUAGCACUGGGCUAGCAGGACUCCGGUAAACCAGGCUGUAGCGGGCUAACAGGGCUCCGGUACUCAAUGCGUGACAUUUCCCCGAGGGGACAGACACAGGAACGAAGAAGGACACAUGCCGGCCAGCCUAAGUGUUCCGGAGCAGUAGCAAGCUACCAUGGCUCAGUGGAAACACUAGGAGACAUUUCCCGGUAAGAGAGGCUACUAAAGAUAAACAACUAGAUAGUCAGAUCCCACACAUACCAAGCAUUUCAAUCAUACACACAAUAUGCUCGAUAUGUGCAAAUACAACAAGGCAUCACAACAUGACUCUAUGACACAAGUAAGUAUUCAUUAGGCUCCGAGGAGCGAGAUAUUACAAACAGGGGUCUCAUGACCCAACAUUCAGAGCAUACAAAUCAAAGCACAAGCGGAAGCUAUCAUGUCUGAGUACAGACAUCUAUAAAUGAAAAAGGCUGAGAAGCCUGACUAUCUACCAGAUCCUGCCGAGGGCACAAGAUCGUAGCUGAGGUAACAAGCUAAACGUCGAAGUCCACGCGGAACUACUAGUGAGACUGAAGUCUCUCUGCAAAAACAUAAAAUAGGCAAACGUGAGUACAAAUGUACCCAGCAAGACUUACAUCAGAACUAUCUACAUAUGCAUCCUUAUCAACAAAGGGAUGGUGGGGUUUAACUGCAGCAAGCCAGCUUUGACUUGGUGGCUAUCCUGAACUACGACUGCAAGUAACUCUUUUGAGGUGGCGCACACGAGUCCACAUAUUCACCAUAUCAAUACACCACUAUGGAUCCGCUCUCGUCUCCCUACGAGAACGCCAUCCAUAGCACUCACGCUUAUCUUGCGUAUUUUAGAGUAUCCACAUUCACUUGUCUAUGAACUGAUAUAAGCAACCCAGAAGUCCUUUACCGCGGACACGGCUAUUCGAAUAGAUGAUGUUAACCCUGCAGGGGUGUACUUCUUUAUACAUGUUUCCACCACUUAGCGUCUGCACACGACAUGUGCUCGGCAGACUUCAAGCGAAAACCGACGUGGGUGUAGACCACGACCUACCUAAACACUCAAGUCUCUAGUCCAGGUUUAUCGCCUAUUCGGGUUCCAUCCAUGAGGAGAUCCGGCCGGAGUUUCGCUCACAGCCCCAAACGAUGUGAACAGGGUUCCGUGACACCAAACGGGCGCCCGGUAUACCCGGCCACGUGCCUACCGCAUCACAGCCCACCCCUCCGGUCAGCGCUGUGCACGGCCUCCAGCAUACUACAAACACCAGAAACUACUUGCAACUCCUGGACAGAGGACUUGGGUGAAUAAGAAGUCGAGCGGGGUCAUAUUUCAGGGCCCAAUGUAUGGUAGUAGCUGAAUCAUGGAUCACAAACACAGAGCUCAGUUCCUAAGGACGGCUGAGACAACCCACCAUGUACUCCUACAUGGCCUCUCACCGCUACCUUUACCAAAUCGUGUUCACCACUUAGCUCACACACAGUAGGACAUGUUCACACACCUCUGAUUCAUCCCCGAUGAAUCGGACCUAACUCAACUCUAAGCAAUAGCAGGCAUGACAAACAAACAUGAAUGAGUAGGCACAACAUGGCUCAAACAACUCCUACUCAUACUAGUGGGUUUCAUCUAUUUACUGUGGCAAUGACAGGUCAUGCAGAGGAUAAAGGGGUUCAGCUACCGCAGCAAGUAACAGUUGAAUCGUUGUUGUCCUAAUGCAGUAAAAGAGAGCAGGAGCGAGAGAGUAGGAUUGUAUCAGAAUGAACAAGGGGGUUUUUGCUUGCCUGGCACUUCUGAAGAUAAUAUAGCUCUUCAUCGGUGUCAUCGAUCACAUCGCCGGUACACGUCUAUCGAGAGGGGACAAUUACCGGCAAACAAGGAAGAACACAAUCAAUGCAAUGCGACAAUAUGAUGCAUGAAUGUGACAUGGCAAUAUGAUGUGAUUUGGGCUAAUGCAUCUAGCAACAGGUUAAAUGGGGUUGGUUUGAACACUAGGUUCAAAUUCAAACUCCAUAUGUGAGAGUUUAAAUGCCAUUUAAUUGAAUUGUCCUAAACAGUGGUCAUAAGUUGUUCUAACAUGCAUGAAAAUGGUACAGAUUUAUAGAUUGGAUUUUUCUGAUCAUUUUUCAUAUAUAAAUUAUUUCAUUUGGAGUUACGGUUGAAUUUCUAUGAAUUUUUGAAGUUUGGGAUAUUUUCUGGAUUUUCUGAAUUAUUUUAAAUCCAGAAAGAAAUAAUUGCAUCAGCCUGACGCCAGCAUGAUGUCAGCGAGUCAACGGCCAGGUCCAGGUCAAACCUGACGUGCGGGGUCCACACGUCAGUGACACAGGAACUAAUCUCGGUCAAACCCAGCGCUGACUGGGGUUUGACCAGGGGUGGGGCCCACUGUCAGUGGCUGUAGGUUGUUUAACUAGCUGGGUUAGCUCCUAAUGACGGAGCCACGUCAGCUCCCGCCGGAGUUUCGCCGGCAAUGACCUAAACUGCGGCGGAGACGCACCGGGGUGGCUCGGGUUCGUCUAUACUGCACCGUUCAGUGCGCCCUUUGGCCCUACGAAGAGCUGGCGCGAUGGCGCGUCGGAUGGUCGUGGUCUCCGGGCCUGGGGUGGCCGAAGUCGACGGCGGCGAGCUCGGUUGCGGCCGCCGGAGCUCGGGUGAGACACGGGCGACCACUAGAGGGCACGGGAGGGCGAGCUGCGGCAUGCAACGGGCUCGUGGAGACGUUCUGAGCACGAUGGUGUACUCGGGUGGGAGCUCCAGUGGCUGCAGUGACGGCGGCGACGAGGUCAGCGGCGGCCGGAGUUCGGCCGCGACGGAGCUAUGGCCUAGAGCUCGCAAACGCGAGGGGAAAGAGAGGGGUUCUGCACGGAGGCUCACAGCGAGGUCGAUGAGCAGCUCGGUGGUCUCGGGGAGGCGUCGGAGGCGGCGAAUCGACAAGCGGCAUCCGGCGGCCGUGCGUGAAGAAGACGGCUCGAUGACGGCGAUGCAGGGCGUCCGAGGUCGCUUGACUCGGCGGAGAGGAUGAGGGCGAGGUAGCCGAGCUACUGGGCACACCGAGGGGUCGAGGGGGAGGCUCUGGGUGCGGGAACGGCGAGCGGCGGCGAUGAGCUCUGCUCGGGCUGCGCGAGAGAGAGAGCAGAGGAGGGGGAAGGGGUCGAGAGAGAGAGCAGAGAGCGAGGGGAGAGACAGAGGGGGCUACGGGCGUAUCCAGACGCGUCGGGGCGCCUCAGUGGCAAGCAGGAGGUGGCCAGGGCGGCGUCGGCGCUCGCCACCGAGCUGCUUCGGUGCGAGGGGAGGAAGACGAUAGGAAAAGGGUGGGCUGGGCCGCGCUGGGCCGGUCCUGUUGGGCUACCAGGUGGGCUUCACAGGUAAGUCGCCAGGUAUGUGCUCUGUUUUAAUUCCUGUUUAUGUUUUCUAUUUUUUUUUAAAUUUGUUUUGCCACUGUUUUGAAUUAAAAAAUAAUUCAAACAAUGCCAAAAACUCCUCUGAAUAUUUUUGUUUUGCUAGAUGGACUUUUCCAAAAGCUCAUAAAAUAUUUCAGGGGUAUUUGAAAUUAUAUUCUAAUUAUAUGAAUAUAAUUCAAAUUCAAAUAACUAAUGAUUUAAAUUCAAAGUCCCAAGAUUAAGUCCUUAAAAAUGUUCAAUAUUUUGGUUGGGACCAGAACCCUUUGCCAAAAUUAUCAAACAUUUAAGAAGAGCAUUUUGGAACAAUGAAUGAGAUUUUAGGGUUUUUUUGCCCUUCUUUUAUUUAGGGUUUUGAGGCUUCCAAAUUUCCCCAGUUCAAGUUCAAAAAUUUAAACAUGAUGCAAACACUAGGCAGCACCAGAAGCUAGGGAUGUGACAACUCACCCCCACUAAACAAGAAUCUCGACCCGAGAUUCAAGUGUAGGGUAAGACGAAGGGGAACGCAACCUAACACAAUCUUCACGAUCCAGGUUGCCCUUCAUAAGAACAUUGAUUCGAUCACCAUCAUUGUCUUGAUGUCUUGCUCCGAGAAUGCCAACCGACAUGACAACGAGAGGGGAAAGAAAACUCUAGAAGGAUCGAACUUCUCGAAGGUCGAACAACUCACGGAAUGAGACAUAGAACCAUCUCUCGGGUUGAGACACGAGAUACACAUCAAGAGGGGUGGAAAGAAAUGGAUGACGAAGGUUCACUAGGUGGACAACAAUUCCACACUUAAAAAGGUGGUAAACGAUUGUCAACGUAGCGAGGAGUUGAGUUUCCAUGAUGCCACAGCGGGACAUCCUGGAGGAGGGUGAUUCGUAGAUUAUUACCUUAAGUGGCAAAAAGAAUUACCUUUGAUAUAGAGAUCAUUGAGACUCUCUAUAUCAGCCUAAGGCAAAUCACAGCAAUCGAUUGGCGGGGGUCGGUAGGAUGGCAUACUCGGACUUGGAUGAUGUGGAUUACCUUGUUGAAGACAACGUAAUGGAUGAAUUUGCUUACCACCAGAAAUGGAAGAGACCCAUGGUAGAAUGGCACAUUGGCGGUGCAAGCUGGGAACAAAAUGCAAAUGCUGGAAAUGAUUCUGGUAACUGGGGAAGAACCCAACAAUAGAGAGUGAAUUCCCUGUUUGAAAAGGUCAUAGCAUUGCCAAGGAAAUUGAGAGCACUAUAUAGUUAAUGCCGACGAUCAAACCUAGCACUUGCGCGUGCUCUCAAGAACUUGAGCAUUUCCAUAAUCAUCAAGAUUUUACCAAUAUCCGUGUCAAGGAUCCUGGCAACACAACUUGCUACCAUGAUGAAUGAUGAUGGAUGAUGCAGAUGCAAAGAAAGAUAACACUUUCUCAGAUUUCACCCUUGGCGGGGCCAAGGAAAUAAAAUCUGGAUGAUCGACCGAGAGACAUUUAGCACUCCGCUUCUAAUGUUCUCCUUGAUGUGCUAGUGUAACCCAUUCAUAGAAAUGGUCUGGUAUCUAGAACAUCAAGUAAAGGUCGGACUUCGGAAACACAAAAAUUCAUAAGGAACAACUAGGGAGGUAAAUCCUACGAAAUCCUUAUGGGGAGGUGGCCAACUUCUUCAAUCAAGAUACUACAAUAAUAGGUCUUUCGGCUGGGUGUGUUGGCCACGACAUCCACUUUACCGGUUACAGAGAGACCAUUAUUAUAGUUCUUGGGAAAUGUUCCAACCAUCAUAUCUGCCUGAGAUUCAGAUCUGGUUGGUGUCAGGAUAUUCCAGACUCAUCGAGUCUAGGAAGAAAAAUGAAAGUUUGCAACACAAUUCGACGAGAUGACGUUGCGAGAUUCUCGGGAAAUGAACUACGAUAGCAAGCUCUAAAACAUGAGCUGGUUCUGCUACACACAUGUGAACACGUUGUCCCAGACAAGCAUGACCACAUAGUAGUCUUAUAAUAAAACACUACCGAGUUCAGGUUGGGAAACCAUCACCGUGGAUAACGAAGUCCUUGCAUAAGUCAUAUGAUUAGCUCUUAUGAGGGAACUUCUUCUCCUUGAACAAAUCAAUCAGUGGCUUGGUGUGCUCGGGACACAUAUGGAAUGAAGGUUGCAAGUCUCCAGACCACAGAAUACUUCGCACGUGUGCAUGACUGACUUGUGAUGAUUCCAGAGGAAGCAAAACUAACUUUCUCAAAUUCAUGGCGGCAACUUUCACCAAAUGCACGUGUAUAAGAGGAAGUCACUCCUUUCAUCAAACAAAUACUUCAUGAGCUAGCAUGAAGAAAAUGCUUCAAAAGUUUCCAACACUAACUUAUUGUCCAACAAGAUCUUGGAGAAGAUAAAAUGAUGUUGAUGGGCUCAACAACAAUUCAUCGAGAUUUCCAUGAAGAUGGAAUUCCCUAAUUAUGUGAACAGGUGAUAGCAUUGGUCAGACCCAUAAGAUAUAAUGGUGCAUGCUCGAGGAGUCAACCACGAGUAAGACAACAUUACGAACAUCGUUGGUUCUGAUUUGAUUUGAGAAUAGCCCACACUCAAAUCAAAGUUUUAACAAGAUAAUAGGUCCAACAACUGAUCACAGGGACCAAUCGAUGAAGACAUCAUCUUUCUUCAACAUACACACAUACACGGAAAGAUAUCCCUUAACAUGAACUAAAUUAGGCAAGCCUUUAUCUUCCAACUCUCCAAGUUGCUGUUCAGCUUAACCAUCUAGCUCAGGGGUAUCCAACACAGACUCUUGGAGAAGGGGUGGUUUACAGGAAUAAACCAACUUGAUCACGAACUCAACAUAGCGGUCAGGUGACAACCUGGUAAUACUUUCGAGAAGAUAUUCCGAAAAUCACGAACCACCGAUAUGUUACUAAGAUCGAGGACAAUCCUGCUUUUCAGGGCAAGACGAUAUGAUCAAUAGAGCAAGGAUUUGAAAUAAUCCUAACUCAUCGAUCGAGGAGUGAACCAGGAGAAUGGACUAGGUAGCACGAUCAAUCUUAGAAUGAUGAUUCAAUAACCAACAUGCUAAGAAUGAAUUUAUUGUCCAUUUAACUACCAAGCAACAGAGUUGCUAGCAGUAUUGAUUUCACACACCAUGAUUCACUUGUCGGCAUUCUGGUUCAACAACACGGGGACCGAGAAAUGAAUAAUGAUGGCGAGAAGUAUCAGUGCACCAAGAAUUCAUAAGAUGAUGUGUAAUUCCUAUGACUUUCUUGACAUAAAGAGGGUAAUACUUCAAGGUAGAACAGAACAAAAGCUGGAUUGGCAUUUUGAUCUGCGGAAUACAACUACUUUGACCCAAUCCUGGAAAUGGAUAAGGUACUGGAGUUUGUUUCUCCUAGUCAUUCUGGAAUAGAAUGGCUUGACGGACCACAAGAAUAAUAAGCAUUGAUAACACGAAUGCACAAUUACUCCUGACUAUCAAUUGAUAGACGAGGGCCAGAAAACAACUAAAGAGGGACAACUCAAAGGAACAUACGAUUUUCUGAGUUGUGGAUGCAUGGUUUAGCAUGUCGAACGAAGUUCAACAUAUUUCUUCCAGAUAACCCAUGCAGAAAGGUAGAACUGGCAGAGCCACAAUAUAUAAUGGAGAACUCAUCAAGAGCACUCUGGUUGUGAUUGUUCAGUUCAACGAGGAACUUCUGCCAUAAGUAGUUCAUGGUAUUUGGAAGAAGAAGAUACCACGGACUUCAAGGACUAUCGCAAAGGUUACUAAUAACCUAAGGGAGCUAGCAAUUACUAUCAACAUGAAGUAAGUAGGGUGAAUCUCGGUUCGAAAACCCAGAAGUGAAAUGCCUACUAACUAAGUGGCAUCACGGGAUGCUUACGAGAAUGAUGGCCAGAAUCAUCACACUGGGACACAAAUCAUGGCUAAAUUACUAGAUGAACCCCUAAGACACCUAGGGUCAUAAUACUAGCUCCAACAUAUAUGUCAAGGCAAUAAAGUACCUCAACUCACCGAUUAGUGUGGUUAAUCUGGCCCAAAGGAACAUCAAAACGGGAGGAAGGAAUUUGCAAAUUGCUUGAGACUAUUUAGAAACCUGGGAUGACUCGGACAGCAUAACGGCUGUAAAUGCUCAGAAAAGAUUUGAGACAUUUCACAAAAAUGGUGGCAUAACCACUCAGAAGCACAAUAUCAAGGUUUCGAGAUCAACAGUUAACAUACAGAAGUCGUAGGAACUGAACUCAAGCUUAAAUCCAACAAUCUUAUAAGUCUACGGAUUAGUAACACGUGAUCCUGAUAGAAAGAAGAGAUAGCCUAGUUCCUAAUCCCCGUAGAAGAGAAGAUGAUGACUCAGAUCAGAAGGCCAUAAGGUAUUGUGACGCCCGGGAAAUCAACCUACAGUGAUCCUCUACUAGUGAUGCCACGUCACCUCAAUUAUAGUUGCUAAUCUUGAGUUAGUUCAAAACCGGUCCAAAAUUCAAAAUUCAAAUAAAUGAUAACAAUAAAAGUUUUCAAAAAUUAAAACUAAAAAGUUUGGUGGUUGUCAAAUAUUACAUCGGUAAUUAUGGUGGAGUGCACACAUUUUUAUAAAGUGUCUGAAUAUUUUAAAAUGAAUUAAAACAGAAAAGAAAAAAAAUCGAAUAAAUAAAGGGAGGGGGGAAAACCCCCUGGCCAACUGGGCCAAACGGCCCAUCCGGCCAGCCCACCGGCCCAUCCGGCCCCCUCACUCCCUUAACCCCCCCACUCCCCGACCGAACCCUAGCCGACCCCCACUCCUCUCUCCCCCUUCCCACGACCCUCGUCCCUUCCCCGAUCCAGAUCNNNNNNNNNNNNNNNNNNNNNNNNNNNNNNNNNNNNNNNNNNNNNNNNNNNNNNNNNNNNNNNNNNNNNNNNNNNNNNNNNNNNNNNNNNNNNNNNNNNNNNNNNNNNNNNNNNNNNNNNNNNNNNNNNNNNNNNNNNNNNNNNNNNNNNNNNNNNNNNNNNNNNNNNNNNNNNNNNNNNNNNNNNNNNNNNNNNNNNNNNNNNNNNNNNNNNNNNNNNNNNNNNNNNNNNNNNNNNNNNNNNNNNNNNNNNNNNNNNNNNNNNNNNNNNNNNNNNNNNNNNNNNNNNNNNNNNNNNNNNNNNNNNNNNNNNNNNNNNNNNNNNNNNNNNNNNNNNNNNNNNNNNNNNNNNNNNNNNNNNNNNNNNNNNNNNNNNNNNNNNNNNNNNNNNNNNNNNNNNNNNNNNNNNNNNNNNNNNNNNNNNNNNNNNNNNNNNNNNNNNNNNNNNNNNNNNNNNNNNNNNNNNNNNNNNNNNNNNNNNNNNNNNNNNNNNNNNNNNNNNNNNNNNNNNNNNNNNNNNNNNNNNNNNNNNNNNNNNNNNNNNNNNNNNNNNNNNNNNNNNNNNNNNNNNNNNNNNNNNNNNNNNNNNNNNNNNNNNNNNNNNNNNNNNNNNNNNNNNNNNNNNNNNNNNNNNNNNNNNNNNNNNNNNNNNNNNNNNNNNNNNNNNNNNNNNNNNNNNNNNNNNNNNNNNNNNNNNNNNNNNNNNNNAACCCCUACUCCUCGAUGUAAGCACGCGCCCCUCCCCUCUCUCCCUCGCCCGCGAUCGCGCGAGCCCCGCCGUGGCCGCGCACGCCGGCCCCCGCCGUGAGCCUCGUUCCCUCCCCUCUUCUUCUCACGACCCCGCGGCGCUCCCGCCGCUGCCCGCCGCUCGGAGGCCUCUCCUCCCUCGCCGGACCUCCUUCACGGAGCCCCUCCUCGCAGCCAUCGCCCGGCGCUGCCUCGCCGUCGCCCCCGAUCCUUCCCCCUCCGACCACGUCGCCUGCGUCGCCAUUACCCUACCGCGGUGCGCUCGCCCGACACGCCCCGCCGCAUCGGUUGCUGUCGCCGGAAACGACCGGCCGACGAGCCCCGCCGUGGCCGUCGGUGCGCUCCAGCGCCCGCACACCCGCGCCCAUUCGGGCUGGCGUUCACGCGCCCGUUUACCCGCCCCGUUUGGCCCCUGUGCCACUGAACGCCGGGGCCCACACCCUGGAAGAAUUAAAAAAAAUGAAAAAAAUGUAUAUUAAUUAAUUAAUUAAUUAGAUAAUUAAUUAACUUAAUUGAUCAGGUUUAAUUUAAUCAAAUCAAACAUUAGUUAACCUGAUUAACUAAUUAAACUAAUUAAUAGGUUAAUUAGGAUAAUGUGCCAAUGACAUGGGGGUCCCACCCCAGAACGUUAAAAAAAUAAUAAUAAAUAAUAAAAAUAAAAAUGCUAAUUAAUUAAUUAAUUAACUAAGUUGAUUAACUUAAUUAAUCAUGUUUAGUUAACCUAAUUAAUCUGUUAAUUAAACUAACUAGGUUAAUUAGUUAACAGUCACUGACUAACGGGACCCACCUGUCAGGUUGACCAAGUCAACUCUGUUGACUGCUGACGUCAGCAUGACAUCAUGCUGACGUCAUAAAUCCAUUUUCCAAAUUAAUUAAAUAAUUAAUUAAAUUUCAGAAAUUAAUAAAAUCUUUAGUAAAUCAUAUCUUUUAAUCCGUAACUCGGAUUAAAAUAUUUUCAACAUGAAAGUUGCUCAGAACGACGAGACGAAUCCGGAUGCGCAGUCCGUUCGUCCGCCACGCACCUCUAACCUAUCGAACCCGCAACUUUCCCCCUCCGGCUCCUCUGCCCGAAAACGCGAAACACCGGGAAUACUUUCCCAGAUGUUUCCCCCCUUCGUCGGUAUCACCUACUACCGUGAUUGGGCACACCUAGCAUCGUUACUUGUCAUGUCAUGCAUCGAUAUGCAUUUGUUUGCAUUGUAUUCAUUGUUUCUUCCCCCUCUUCUCUCCGGUAGACUACGAGACCGACGCUGCUGCUGCCCAGUUCGACUACGGAGUUAACGACCCCUCCUUCUUGCCAGAGCAACCAGGCAAGCCCCCCCCCCCUUGAUCACCAGAUAUCGCCUAUUCUCUUCUAUACUGCUUGCAUUAGAGUAGUGUAGCAUGUUACUGCUUUCCGUUUAUCCUAUUCUGAUGCAUAGCCUGACAUUGUUGCUACACCUGUUGAUACCUUACCUGCAAUCCUAAAUGCUUAGUAUAGGAUGCUAGUUUAUCAUCAUUGGCCCUACAUUCUUGUCGGUCUGCCUUGCUAUACUAUUGGGCCGUGAUCACUCGGGAGGUGAUCACGGGUAUAUACUAUAAAUACAUACAUACUAUACAGAUGGUGACUAAAGUCGGGUCAGCUCGAAGAGUACCCGCGAGUGAUUCACGGAUUGGGGGCUGAAAGGACCUUUGUCCCGACGGCCCUCUGUGUGGAUCUUUGUGGCGGAGCGACAGGGCAGGUUGAGACCGCCUAGGAGAGAGGUGGGCCUGGCCCUGUUCAGCGUUCGCGGAUAUUUAACACGCUUAACGAGAUCUUGGUAUUUGAUCUGAGUUGGCUACGAGCCUAUACGCACUAACCAUCUACGUGGGAGUAGUUAUGGGUAUCCCGGCGUCGUGGUAUCAGCCGAAGCACUUCAGACGUCAGCGACGGAGCGACGCGCGCCGGAUUGGACUGGAACGCCUGCUAGGCUAGGUCUGCUUCCGGCUGCCCUCGCAACGUGCAGGUGUGCUAUGGGCGAUGGGCCCAGACCCCUGUGCGCUUAGGUUUAGACCGGGUGCUGGCCUCUCUGUUUUGCCUAGGUGGGGCUGCGAUGUGUUGAUCUUCCGAGGCCGGGCAUGACCCAGGAAAGUGUGUCCGGCCAAAUGGGAUCAAGCGUGUUGGGUAAGUUGGUGCACCCCUGCAGGGAAGUUAAUCUAUUCGAAUAGCCGUGAUCUUCGGUAACAGGACGACUUGGAGUUGUACCUUGACCUUAUGACAACUAGAACCGGAUACUUAAUAAAACACACCCUUCCAAGUGCCAGAUACAACCGAUGGUCGCUCUACCUCAGGGAUAUGAGGAGGGGAUCGCCGGGUAGGAUUAUGCUAUGAGAUGCUAUUUGGAGAUGCUACUUGGAGAUGCUACUUGGAGGACUUCAAUCUACUCUCUUCUACUUGAUGCAAGACGGUGGCUGCGAGAAGCGUAGUCUUCGACAGGAUUAGCUAUCCCCCUCUUAUUCUGGCAUUCUGCAGUUCAGUCCACUGAUAUGGCAUCCUUACACAUAUACCCAUGCAUAUGUAGUGUAGUUCCUUGCUUGCGAGUACUUUGGAUGAGUACUCACGGUUGCUUUCUUCCCCUUUUUUUUCCCUUUCCCUUUCUUUCUGGUUGUCGUAACCAGAUGCUGGAGCCCUGGAGCCAGACGCCACCGUCGACGACGACCCCUACUACACCAGAGGCGCCUACUACUACGUGCAGCCCGCUGACGACGACCUGGAGUAGUUUAGGAGGAUCCCAGGCAGGAGGCCUGCGCCUCUUUCGAUCUGUAUCCCAGUUUGUGCUAGCCUUCUUAAGGCAAACUUGUUUAACUUAUGUCUGUACUCAGAUAUUGUUGCUUCCGCUGACUCGUCUAUGAUCGAGCACUUGUAUUCGAGCCCUCGAGGCCCCUGGCUUGUAUUAUGAUGCUUGUAUGACUUAUUUAUGUUUUAGAGUUGUGUUGUGAUAUCUUCCCGUGAGUCCCUGAUCUUGAUCGUACACGUUUGCGUGCAUGAUUAGUGUACGAUUGAAUCGGGGGCGUCACAAGUAUAAGGAGUAAAAAGAGCCUUACGUUCCAUCCCACAAUCAAUUCCCUUAUAUAACUAAAGAAUUUCUAGACUCAACUUCGACCAGUUUGGCUUGGUAAUCCUACAGGCAGUCAAGCUCUGAUACCAACGCUGUCAGGACCCCGACUCAAUGCCACAUCGAUCUAGCAUGUAACACCUCAUAUCACUUUGCGGCCUCACGCACGGUAUUCCCACGGGUGUCGCCUUACCUUUGCCCGGGACCGUUUGCGCCUUUUGGCACACGUAUAUGAUAGUGUCGCUAGCAUCCAUAUGAUAAGGAGUCCGGGCUGACAUGACUAGUCGUAAACCCAAAGUGGCACAGACUUACAGGGACAGGCAUCCAUGACCCAGCAUCGAACGUGUCGGUCAUCAGCAAGUGGGUCCGGGCUGUAGCACUGGGCUAGCAGGACUCCGGUAAACCAGGCUGUAGCGGGCUAACAGGGCUCCGGUACUCAAUGCGUGACAUUUCCCCGAGGGGACAGACACAGGAACGAAGAAGGACACAUGCCGGCCAGCCUAAGUGUUCCGGAGCAGUAGCAAGCUACCAUGGCUCAGUGGAAACACUAGGAGACAUUUCCCGGUAAGAGAGGCUACUAAAGAUAAACAACUAGAUAGUCAGAUCCCACACAUACCAAGCAUUUCAAUCAUACACACAAUAUGCUCGAUAUGUGCAAAUACAACAAGGCAUCACAACAUGACUCUAUGACACAAGUAAGUAUUCAUUAGGCUCCGAGGAGCGAGAUAUUACAAACAGGGGUCUCAUGACCCAACAUUCAGAGCAUACAAAUCAAAGCACAAGCGGAAGCUAUCAUGUCUGAGUACAGACAUCUAUAAAUGAAAAAGGCUGAGAAGCCUGACUAUCUACCAGAUCCUGCCGAGGGCACAAGAUCGUAGCUGAGGUAACAAGCUAAACGUCGAAGUCCACGCGGAACUACUAGUGAGACUGAAGUCUCUCUGCAAAAACAUAAAAUAGGCAAACGUGAGUACAAAUGUACCCAGCAAGACUUACAUCAGAACUAUCUACAUAUGCAUCCUUAUCAACAAAGGGAUGGUGGGGUUUAACUGCAGCAAGCCAGCUUUGACUUGGUGGCUAUCCUGAACUACGACUGCAAGUAACUCUUUUGAGGUGGCGCACACGAGUCCACAUAUUCACCAUAUCAAUACACCACUAUGGAUCCGCUCUCGUCUCCCUACGAGAACGCCAUCCAUAGCACUCACGCUUAUCUUGCGUAUUUUAGAGUAUCCACUUUCACUUGUCUAUGAACUGAUAUAAGCAACCCAGAAGUCUUUUACCGCGGACACGGCUAUUCGAAUAGAUGAUGUUAACCCUGCAGGGGUGUACUUCUUUAUACAUGUUUCCACCACUUAGCGUCUGCACACGACAUGUGCUCGGCAGACUUCAAGCGAAAACCGACGUGGGUGUAGACCACGACCUACCUAAACACUCAAGUCUCUAGUCCAGGUUUAUCGCCUAUUCGGGUUCCAUCCAUGAGGAGAUCCGGCCGGAGUUUCGCUCACAGCCCCAAACGAUGUGAACAGGGUUCCGUGACACCAAACGGGCGCCCGGUAUACCCGGCCACGUGCCUACCGCAUCACAGCCCACCCCUCCGGUCAGCGCUGUGCACGGCCUCCAGCAUACUACAAACACCAGAAACUACUUGCAACUCCUGGACAGAGGACUUGGGUGAAUAAGAAGUCGAGCGGGGUCAUAUUUCAGGGCCCAAUGUAUGGUAGUAGCUGAAUCAUGGAUCACAAACACAGAGCUCAGUUCCUAAGGACGGCUGAGACAACCCACCAUGUACUCCUACAUGGCCUCUCACCGCUACCUUUACCAAAUCGUGUUCACCACUUAGCUCACACACAGUAGGACAUGUUCACACACCUCUGAUUCAUCCCCGAUGAAUCGGACCUAACUCAACUCUAAGCAAUAGCAGGCAUGACAAACAAACAUGAAUGAGUAGGCACAACAUGGCUCAAACAACUCCUACUCAUACUAGUGGGUUUCAUCUAUUUACUGUGGCAAUGACAGGUCAUGCAGAGGAUAAAGGGGUUCAGCUACCGCAGCAAGUAACAGUUGAAUCGUUGUUGUCCUAAUGCAGUAAAAGAGAGCAGGAGCGAGAGAGUAGGAUUGUAUCGGAAUGAACAAGGGGGUUUUUGCUUGCCUGGCACUUCUGAAGAUAAUAUAGCUCUUCAUCGGUGUCAUCGAUCACAUCGCCGGUACACGUCUAUCGAGAGGGGACAAUUACCGGCAAACAAGGAAGAACACAAUCAAUGCAAUGCGACAAUAUGAUGCAUGAAUGUGACAUGGCAAUAUGAUGUGAUUUGGGCUAAUGCAUUUAGCAACAAGUUAAAUGGGGCUGGUUUGAACACUAGGUUCAAAUUCAAACUCCAUAUGUGAGAGUUUAAAUGCCAUUUAAUUGAAUUGUCCUAAACAGUGGUCAUAAGUUGUUCUAACAUGCAUGAAAAUGGUACAGAUGGAUAGAUUGAAUUUUUCUGAUUUCAUAUAUAAAUUAUUUCAUUUGGAGUUACGGUUGAAUUUUUAUGAAUUUUUGAAGUUUGGGAUAUUUUCUAGAUUUUCUGAAUUAUUUUAAAUCCAGAAAUAAAUAAUCGCGUCAGCCUGACGCCAGCAUGAUGUCAGCGAGUCAACGGCCAGGUCCAGGUCAAACCUGACGUGCGGGGUCCACACGUCAGUGACACAGGAACUAAUCCCGGUCAAACCCAGCGCUGACUGGGGUUUGACCAGGGGUGGGGCCCACUGUCAGUGGCUGUAGGUUGUUUAACUAGCUGGGUUAGCUCCUAAUGACGGAGCCACGUCAGCUCCCGCCGGAGUUUCGACGGCGACGACCUAAACUGCGGCGGAGACGCACCGGGGUGGCUCGGGUUUCGUCUAUACUGCACCGUUCAGUGCGCCCUUUGGCCCUACGGAGAGCUGGCGCAAUGGCGCGUCGGAUGGUCGUGGUCUCCGGGCCUGGGGUGGCCGAAGUCGACGGCGGCGAGCUCGGUUGCGGCCGCCGGAGCUCGGGUGAGACACGGGCGACCACUAGAGGGCACGGGAGGGCGAGCUGCGGCAUGCAACGGGCUCGUGGAGACGUUCUGAGCACGAUGGUGUACUCGGGUGGGAGCUCCAGUGGCUGCAGUGACGGCGGCGACGAGGUCAGCGGCGGCCGGAGUUCGGCCGCGAUGGAGCUAUGGCCUAGAGCUCGCAAACGCGAGGGGAAAGAGAGGGGUUCUGCACGGAGGCUCACAGCGAGGUCGAUGAGCAGCUCGGUGGUCUCGGGAAGGCGUCGGAGGCGGUGAAUCGACAAGCGGCAUCCGGCGGCCGUGCGUGAAGAAGACGGCUCGAUGACGGCGAUGCAGGGCGUCCGAGGUCGCUUGACUCGGCGGAGAGGAUGAGGGCGAGGUAGCCGAGCUACUGGGCACACCGAGGGGUCGAGGGGGAGGCUCUGGGUGCGGCAACGGCGAAUGGCGGCGAUGAGCUCUGCUCGGGCUGUGCGAGAGAGAGAGCAGAGGAGGGGGAAGGGGUCGAGAGAGAGCAGAGAGCGAGGGGAGAGACAGAGGGGGCUACGGGCGUAUCCAGACGCGUCGGGGCGCCUCGGUGGCAAGCAGGAGGUGGACAGGGCGGCGUCGGCGCUCGCCACCGAGCUGCUUCGGUGCGAGGGGAGGAAGACGACAGGAAAAGGGUGGGCUGGGCCGCGCUGGGCCGGUCCUGUUGGGCUACCAGGUGGGCUUCACAGGUAAGUCGCCAGGUAUGUGCUCUGUUUUAAUUCCUGUUUAUGUUUUCUAUUUUUUUUAAAUUUGUUUUGCCACUGUUUUGAAUUUAAAAAUAAAUCAAACAAUGCCAAAAACUCCUCUGAAUAUUUUUGUUUUGCUAGAUGGACUUUUCCAAAAGCUCAUAAAAUAUUUCAGGGGUAUUUGAAAUUAUAUUCUAAUUAUAUGAAUAUAAUUCAAAUUCAAAUAACUAAUGAUUUAAAUUCAAAGUCCCAAGAUUAAGUCCUUAAAAAUGUUCAAUAUUUUGGUUGGGACCAGAACCCUUUGCCAAAAUUAUCAAACAUUUAAGAAGAGCAUUUUGGAACAAUGAAUGAGAUUUUAGGGUUUUUUGCCCUUCUUUUAUUUAGGGUUUUGAGGCUUCCAAAUUUCCCCAGUUCAAGUUCAAAAAUUUAAACAUGAUGCAAACACUAGGCAGCACCAGAAGCUAGGGAUGUGACACCCGGCCACAUGCCAGCCGGCCGCUGAGCAGCCCGGGUGCCCGGCCCCCUCCGUCCAGCCGCACGUUUAUGGCCUUUUUGGCCUUGUACCCCUCUCUUCUUGACUUGUUUCGCCCCUAAACUAAAUAAGGACAUCUCCUAGGUCAUUUGUAGGGUUAGCAAAGAUUAGACUAAACAUUGUGAGCCUUUGCUCCUUGUAUCCCCUCCUCUUAGGAGAUCAAGCCCCCACCUAGGGAAGAAUCCAUUGGAUUGUCAAGGCCUCCUCUUGGAGAAGAUCAUCAAGACCUCACCUAGUGGGAAGAAUUUACCUAGUGCUACCCUCCUUGUAUUGAUCUUGUAAUCUUGUGGAUCUCAUGUAUGCUACUCUAGUGGAUGUGAUAUUUGGGUUUGUUUGAGAGUUUUGUUCUUGGUGUUCUUGAGUGUUUUCCUCCUUUUCCCCCUCCAAGUGUGAAAAGAUCCUUCCUAGGGUUUGACCCUACAACAGGUCUUCCUGUGAUGGGGUCUUAAAUCCGCUUGGAGGAUCUUCUCUGAAGAGGUCGUGGACUCCGAUGGAGAAGUAACCAAGUGGAUGAGCAAAGCUCUAUCUCUCAAAUGAGCUUAUCCUUUGUUAACCUUAGAAAGAGGGAGGAGGUCUAUUUAUAGUCUAAGUGGACGAAGGGGAACAUGGGAUUCGGCCCAACACGCUGUCAACACACAGGCGUCGGACGUCCUACCGUCACCGGUCGUCCGAUGGCUCCCGAGGUUCCGGACGUCUAGGACUGGCAGUGAGUCCGACGUUUUGGCUCUGGUUAGGAUUUGUCGGACGUCCAGUCGGGGUCGGGCGUCCGGUCCGUCAGUCGUCCGGAGAUCUCCAUACUUCCAAUGCUUUGUCUCGGGUGUGGUGGUGCCGGUCGUCCGGUGGGGCUCGUCCGUCCGGGUGCUAGGAGGUGUCGGUCGUCCGACGAACGUCGGACGUCCGACCGUUGUAGCGUUCGCUGGCUCGGCCUUGUCCGGCUAGUUGGAGCUUCAGGCGUCGGUUGUCCGGUCGGGGUCGGUCGUCCAACGGCUGGAGACUUCCAGACUACUUUUCUUCUCACUCCAUGUACUCGGUGUCCACGCCGUCUUGUCCGUUGGGUGUAGUUGUUCCAUGGCCUACUUCCAAGUACCUGAUCACGCAUAGGGUCUCCGCUUGAGGUAGCAGCCAUGUCUCAUAUGUGGAGAGUGGUAGUUCGGAGAGGAGUGAGUUUACCUUAUCUUCGAUAGCCUUUGCUCGAGCUCUUGUCAUUGGUCCAAGUGGUGUCGUGGGAGACGUAGGUAGGUCCAUGGGGAUGACCUUGGGAUGCUCCACGUCACAGAGGAGGCUGCGAGGGUCACUCUAGCACAGGUAGGCCCGAGGGAGAGGCGAGGCUCGGGCACGCGCGUGUUGACACAUCUCUGCCUACCGACAGAGGUUGAAGACGGCGUCUGGUGGAUGCAUAGUAACUGGGCCGCAGGUAAGCGCUUCUCUGUGUGUGUGUGUGUGUGUUUUAUUAUUUCUACUUAGUUUGUUUUUAUUUAUUUCUUUUACCACUAUUUUCAAAUUAUACAAAUUCAAAACCAGUGACAAAAUUCCCUUGAAUAUUUUUAUGCUGCACAAUGGAAUUAUCCAAAGACAAAUAAAUCAUUUCAUAGUUAUUCAAAAUUAUAUUCUAAUUAUAUGAAUAUAACUCAAAUUCAAAUAGCUACUGAUUUAACUCAAAGUCCCAACAUAAUUCCUUAAAAAUGUUCACUAUUUUUGGUUUGAAUCAAAACCCUUGCCGAAAUUAUCAAACAUUAAAGAAGGAAUUUUUGGAAUCUUUGAAUGAAAUUUUUAGGGCUCUUGCCCUUCUUUUAUUUAAAUUUUUCUGAGGCUUGAAAAUUCCCUCAGUUCAAGUUUCUUGAGAUUAACAUGAUGCAUGAUGCUCAUUGAUGCAACUAGUUAAAAGCAUUCUUCUAGGGUUGUGACAGUUACAUGCUUUGAGUAAGAAGAAUGCUUUGAGUAAGAAGAAUGCACCCUUCAUAUGGGGACCCUCACAAGAUGCCACGUUUAUGAGUUUAAGAAUUGCUCACGCAUGCUCCAUUGCUUGCAUUACCGAACUUUAAUAAAUGUGUGAUCAAACACCAAAAGGAUACACAAAACACCAGAAAUAUACACUGAAACCCAAACACAUGCACAUGCAUAAUACUCCCUCCGUUCCUAAAUAUAAAGUCUUUUUAGAGAUUUCACUAUGGACUACAUACGGAGCAAAAUGAGUGAAUCUACACUCUAAAAUAUGUCUAUAUACAUCCGUAUGUAGUUUAUAGUGCAAUCUCUAAAAAGACUUAAUUUAGGAACGGAGGGAGUACAUUCCCAUGAAAUAGACUAGUUUUGAGAUAUCAGGGUAGAGCACAUGCAUAAUACAUUCCCAUGAAAUAGACUAGUUUUGAGAUAUCAGGGUAGAGCACAGAAAGGAGCAAAAAGGAGCUAACAUUCUUAUUGAAAUACUAACUGUAGUUCAUUUAUCAUAUCCUCAGACAUUGUACACAGCGGUGCGCUGGUGAUCCAUCACCACAUCAGCCAAACUAGACACGGAAUCACAGUUUAUACACACAAAUUCAUUUUGUCUUCUUAUCUUCUUU
rnacentral:lncRNA from 1 species